GACGAACGCUGGCGGCGUGCUUAACACAUGCGAGUCGAACGCUGAAGCUCAGCUUGCUGGGUGGUUGAGUGGCGAACGGGUGAGUAACACGUGAGUAACCUGCCCUCUUCUUUGGGAUAACGCCCGGAAACGGGUGCUAAUACUGGAUAUUCACUGAUUCUCGCAUGGGGGUUGGUGGAAAGGUUUUUUCUGGUGGGGGAUGGGCUCGCGGCCUAUCAGCUUGUUGGUGGGGUGAUGGCCUACCAAGGCUUUGACGGGUAGCCGGCCUGAGAGGGUGACCGGUCACAUUGGGACUGAGAUACGGCCCAGACUCCUACGGGAGGCAGCAGUGGGGAAUAGUGCACAAUGGGCGAAAGCCUGAUGCAGCGACGCCGCGUGAGGGAUGGAGGCCUUCGGGUUGUAAACCUCUUUCGCUCAUGGUCAAGCCGCAGCUUUGGGUUGUGGUGAGGGUAGUGGGUAAAGAAGCGCCGGCUAACUACGUG
rnacentral:rRNA from 1 species